rnacentral:lncRNA from 1 species
UCUGUAAGAGAUUUCAAUUUUUUUUGUUGAUAACUGAAUGAUUGAUUGUGUUCAGGAUCAGUUCUGUGCCAUUAAUAUAGGCUAUCGAAUAUAACUUUGUAGUAAUUUGGUUACACAAUGUUUGUUCUAUAUAGUUGAUCAUGUGUUUAUAUUAAUUGAGUUACAUGCAUACACUUGAAUUUCCCAUCUUAACAUUCAUUUUUUCUUGCUGUGGGUGUAUAUGAUCUAGAUGAUUGAUUGUGUCUUCAAACCGUUAGGUAGGUGUAUGUAAUUUAGUUAGGUUGUGGAAUCUAGCUUUGUAACUUUAUAUGGUUAGAUGUUGGGUCACACAUUGUUUGUUCUACUUUACCUUUUUCAAAAUUGCAGACUUUUUCUUUUAGAUUUUGACUGAGUUGUGUCUAUGUGAAUUGGAUGAUUGUGUAUUUUGGAUUAUAGCUGUGUGUGUUCAUUUGAUGUGCGCCUUACCUUCUUGGGUUGAUUAUCUAACUUUGUAAGCAUUAUAUGGCUUCUUCUAGCAAUUGGGUGAAUGUGGUCCCUCGGUGUUUGGUCUAAGUUAAGUUGCUAGCUGCUAUUUAUAUAUACACAUGAUAUUAACACCCCCACCAAACUUCAUAGAGUAGAUUUUGUGUUUAUAUUAGAUCUGGAGCAUGAUUGGGUAUGGUUGAGGGGGUUUACAUGGUUAUAGAAUCACAUCAAAGAAAUAACUAUAUAGUUCUUGUAAUGGUUUCUUUUAAUCAAAGUAAAGCAUAAUCCUUUACAAGAAAAAUGUGUGGCUUAUAAACUUUUGUGACCUACCACGUGAACUGCACAGACGAGGAGAGGAAUCUUCAGCUGCUUCAACUGCUGCGUUAAAGCUUGAAGGUUUUUUUUUAUAAUAGAGACGACGAUGAGAUGAAUCUUCAGCUGUUUCGAUUAUUUAUAAUAAUGAAGUGUAAUGGUAGAGUGAAACCAUUACACUUAUAUUUUUCUGCGGAAGCAGUAAAGUAUUAAUCAAGUUUGUCUGCCGUUUACUGUUAUCUUCCAGUGUCUAACUAUGUUUUUGGUAUUAAUUUGAAGUGUAGUUUAACUUUCCCAGAGAUUGAUGUUUUCAGUAUUGUGUAAUGCAGAGUAGAUUCUUUUGUACUUACUUUGAAUUGCGUUUGCCAUCUCUAACUAUCUAAGUAUCUGAUAAUCAAAACACAUAAGAUACGUUUACUACAAUCAUCCUCGUAAAGUCUUAAACUACCUUAACUAAGCUUAUUGGAGGCUAUAGUGUAAAUAGAGAAGUCACACUAAGAAAGAUGUACAUGUCCUCGUCUAUUUCUGAUGAAAACGAUUAUGAACAGUGAACAUUGAAAUUGAAUCAACAAAGUUGAUAUGGCCGAGUUGGUCUAAGGCGCCAGAUUAAGGUUCUGGUCCGAAAGGGCGUGGGUUCAAAUCCCACUGUCAACAGUUUUUUUUUUUUUUUCAUUACUCGUUAAAACAGAUCUUAUUAGUUACUACUGAUUCCACUUAUAAGGCUAUAACCCGUCGAUCUAAACCUCUCCUUUUGUUACUGGUCCAAAGUCAUCAAAGUAAAAUACAAAGCUUUACGGACAAGAUCUUAUCACAGGUUUUUGAAGAGAUACAGACUAUAACAAACUUGCUUUGAAGAUCGUGUGGCUGAAAGAACGAAACAAGAUAAGAUAAUGCUUUUUAGAUUCCCAGAGUUUGCAUUCGUUAGAACCCAUCAACUAUGAUCAGUGGGGGAAAAGUCGAAAACAAAAACGAAGUAAUUAAGUAAAAAGAGGUUAUUUUCGGAAUAACCGGUAGGCGGUUGUUUUGUGUUACGUUUUCUCCUCCCACAUCGGUUAGCUAGAAAAAGUUAGAUCUUCUAGCAAGUAUAAAUAAGAGGCCGUGUCACAUCGUUCAAUUUAUACCUUUCUCGGCCUUUUGGCUAAGAUCAAGUGUAGUAUCUGUUCUUAUCAGUUUAAUAUUUGAUAUAUGGGUCAUCGGCCCAUACGAUGUUAACUAUAUUUUUUCAGGGGGGAAGCCCAUCAAGAUAGCUUGCUAUCUGGGCUUUCGGGAGUUGCCCUUGCGUUGCACUACUGCACGGGCCUGGCUCAACCCAUCAAUCAAAUAGUCCAAUUUUUUUGUGUUUACUCCGAAAAGCACUGGUUCGUAUUUAGUUACAUGCCUGUUAGGGGUAAUAGGGCAUGUUUUGUUCUAAGGAAUACUGGUCACGGGUUGGCUAUGUUUGUAACUCGAAAAAGAGUAAUUGGGCCUUUAGUGAUAGCCCUAUAAGUUGGACGACGAGAGCAGAUCCUAUAUCAUUCAAAGCCCAUCACAUUGUAUAUAUUGACUUGUUUUCCUAUUAUGUUCAAAGUCUUGAAAUUUAGAUUUUUUUAUUGUUUUUACUUUUUACUAAUUUAAGUAUUUAUCAAAUUGUACGAUUUGAAAAUGGUCAAUUAUAUACUAUCAACGUGUUUAACAUAUAAGUAAAAUAAAUUGUUAUUAAUCUAUUUCAACCACUGGUAACUUUUGUACUUACUAAGUUAAAAUUAUUGUUAGGUUAAUGUUUAUACUUUAUACUGUGCAAUUUUUUCGACAUUGGUUAAUUUAAAAAUGUUUUUAAAUUCAGUGGAACCUAUCGUCUUGAAAAUUUUACCCACUGCUCUUGAAUGACAACUACGAUAAUUAAUGCUAUUUUGCUAAAAAGAGGAUAUUGCAGUUAAGGGAGUGGAGGACCACUCUUUAGAAAUGUUCCGACUGAGGAAAGCUAAUCGGAGGGUGGUCCGUGGUCCCUCGAUGCAUUUCAAAUUAGUGAUCAUCGGGCCAUCGCAAUAAAGUUUGUAUGCUUUGGACCAUUGUCUUGAUGGAUAAUCAAGAGAGAUGAAAGGUAAUAUCAUCACACAUCACACAAUACUCUGAUACAAGCCUUUUUUUUCCCUUAAAAGUCAAUGAAAAUUUCACAUUCUUUUCGAAAGCUCUUUCCAAGUCAGAUUUGGCAGAUGCUAUUGUGUGUAUAAUACAAUGCUAGACUUUUAAUGUUCUCAAAGCGUUAAAAAAUAAAAACUCCAGUUUUUGUUUGUUGGUCUUUAAUAAUUAGUCACUUAGUUUAGCGAAUUGAUCGUGACCUGUGAGUCUUGGUCAAAUAAAUAUCCCUCUUGUAAAUAAUUGACAACAAAAAAGAAAGCUUAAACCAUAGCUGCUACCACUAUUUUUUCAAGUAUAGUUUGAUAAUGAUGCAAUCAUGUAAUGUAUAAUAUGCUUGAGGGUCUGGAUCAUGAUUUAUUACAAUUUGCAGAGACCAAAUUACAAUUUGCAUAGUCAAAGCCUUUAUAUAUGUACCAUCAUCAUUUUUCAGGGUAAAACAUGUCUGCCGUAGUUGUGUUACAUAGUCAAGCUUUUUAAUACUAUAGUUUUUUUUUCUGAAUCAAGUUGUACCUACCAUCUUCGCAGUUACUCCCACUGGUCGAUAUUCAAUAUAAAAAACAAUUGAUGCUAGAUAUAUUGAAACAACUAAACACACUUGAUGAAGGACUUAGUCAGAGACACGAUUCUAAGAUGAAAUUGUGAUUAUCAUCUCUACAAAGCAUUAAAAACACACACACCCAAAAGCUUAAAAUAAAUGUUAAAAAGCACUCUUGAAACUCUCAACCGUUAUGUUGUUGAACCUGAAGUUACUGUCUGGACUCAGCUCCACGUAGUGUACCAAUCCAAGCAGGUGGCUGCAUCCCGGUCUGCUCAUAAACCGUAUCAAGAACCGGUGGCAACAUCUUGUAGAGUCCAGCAAUUUCCUUCAUACCACCACUACCCAUCCCCUGAUCAACACCAGCACCACCACCUUGGUUCCACACACUGAUCUUAGGCUGCAAGUCCCUGAUGGCCAAAGCAUUGGUCUUGGCGAUAUCCUGAUAAACCCCAUUGUUGAUCAUCAAAAAGUCCCUCAUCGCCGAGUAGUCAUUGUCAACCGCGUCCAGGAGAGUCUUGAUGUAAGUCCCUUGAGCAGUGGCCAUGGCCACAAGCCCAUCCGCAUCUCUCUGUUUAGCAUAGAAGGAAGCAUCAGCUGCAGCUUUAGUAGCCUCCGCUUGCUUCUGCUUCUCGUAAAGAACAGCUUCUGCCUUCUUCUGCUUGUCAGGAUCAGUUCUGUGCCAUUAAUAUAGGCUAUCGAAUAUAACUUUGUAGUAAUUUGGUUACACAAUGUUUGUUCUAUAUAGUUGAUCAUGUGUUUAUAUUCAUUAAGUUACAUGCAUACACUUGAAUUUCCCAUCUUAACAUUCAUUUUUUCUUGAUGUGGGUGUAUAUGAUCUAGAUGAUUGAUAGUGUCUUCAAACCGUUAGGUAGGUGUAUGUAAUUUAGUUAGGUUGUGGAAUCUAGCUUUGUAACUUUAUAUGGUUAGAUGUUGGGUCACACAUUGUUUGUUCUACUUUACCUUUUUCAAAAUUGCAGACUUUUUCUUUUAGAUUUUGACUGAGUUGUGUCUAUGUGAAUUGGAUGAUUGUGUAUUUUGGAUUAUAGCUGUGUGUGUUCAUUUGAUGUGCGCCUUACCUUCUUGGGUUGAUUAUCUAACUUUGUAAGCAUUAUAUGGCUUCUUCUAGCAAUUGGGUGAAUGUGGUCCCUCGGUGUUUGGUCUAAGUUAAGUUGCUAGCUGCUAUUUAUAUAUACACAUGAUAUUAACACCCCCACCAAACUUCAUAGAGUAGAUUUUGUGUUUAUAUUAGAUCUGGAGCAUGAUUGGGUAUGGUUGAGGGGGUUUACAUGGUUAUAGAAUCACAUCAAAGAAAUAACUAUAUAGUUCUUGUAAUGGUUUCUUUUAAUCAAAGUAAAGCAUAAUCCUUUACAAGAAAAAUGUGUGGCUUAUAAACUUUUGUGACCUACCACGUGAACUGCACAGACGAGGAGAGGAAUCUUCAGCUGCUUCAACUGCUGCGUUAAAGCUUGAAGGUUUUUUUUUAUAAUAGAGACGACGAUGAGAUGAAUCUUCAGCUGUUUCGAUUAUUUAUAAUAAUGAAGUGUAAUGGUAGAGUGAAACCAUUACACUUAUAUUUUUCUGCGGAAGCAGUAAAGUAUUAAUCAAGUUUGUCUGCCGUUUACUGUUAUCUUCCAGUGUCUAACUAUGUUUUUGGUAUUAAUUUGAAGUGUAGUUUAACUUUCCCAGAGAUUGAUGUUUUCAGUAUUGUGUAAUGCAGAGUAGAUUCUUUUGUACUUACUUUGAAUUGCGUUUGCCAUCUCUAACUAUCUAAGUAUCUGAUAAUCAAAACACAUAAGAUACGUUUACUACAAUCAUCCUCGUAAAGUCUUAAACUACCUUAACUAAGCUUAUUGGAGGCUAUAGUGUAAAUAGAGAAGUCACACUAAGAAAGAUGUACAUGUCCUCGUCUAUUUCUGAUGAAAACGAUUAUGAACAGUGAACAUUGAAAUUGAAUCAAC